AUGCAAGUCGAACGAGAAUCUACUGAAAGAGUUUUCGGACAAUGGAUGUAGAGGAAAGUGGCGGACGGGUGAGUAACGCGUGAGGAACCUGCCUUGAAGAGGGGGACAACAGUUGGAAACGACUGCUAAUACCGCAUAACGCAUAGGGGUCGCAUGAUCUUUAUGCCAAAGAUUUAUUGCUUCAAGAUGGCCUCGCGUCUGAUUAGCUAGUUGGCGGGGUAACGGCCCACCAAGGCGACGAUCAGUAGCCGGACUGAGAGGUUGAACGGCCACAUUGGGACUGAGAUACGGCCCAGACUCCUACGGGAGGCAGCAGUGGGGAAUAUUGGGCAAUGGGCGCAAGCCUGACCCAGCAACGCCGCGUGAAGGAAGAAGGCUUUCGGGUUGUAAACUUCUUUUAAGAGGGAAGAGUAGAAGACGGUACCUCUAGAAUAAGCCACGGCUAACUACGUGCCAGCAGCCGCGGUAAUACGUAGGUGGCAAGCGUUGUCCGGAUUUACUGGGUGUAAAGGGCGUGCAGCCGGGUCUGCAAGUCAGAUGUGAAAUCCAUGGGCUCAACCCAUGAACUGCAUUUGAAACUGUAGAUCUUGAGUGUCGGAGGGGCAAUCGGAACUCCUAGUGUAGCGGUGAAAUGCGUAGAUAUUAGGAGGAACACCAGUGGCGAAGGCGGAUUGCUGGACGAUAACUGACGGUGAGGCGCGAAAGUGUGGGGAGCAAACAGGAUUAGAUACCCUGGUAGUCCACACUGUAAACGAUGAAUACUAGGUGUGCGGGGACUGACCCCCUGCGUGCCGCAGUAAACACAAUAAGUAUUCCACCUGGGGAGUACGAUCGCAAGGUUGAAACUCAAAGGAAUUGACGGGGGCCC
rnacentral:rRNA from 1 species